GAUGAAGAACGCAGCGAAAUGCGAUACGUAAUGUGAAUUGCAGAAUUCAGUGAAUCAUCGAGUCUUUGAACGCACAUUGCGCCCCCUGGUAUUCCGGGGGGCAUGCCUGUCCGAGCGUCAUUGCUGCCCUCAAGCACGGCUUGUGUGUUGGGCCUCCGUCCUCCUCCCGGGGGACGGGCCCGAAAGGCAGCGGCGGCACCGCGUCCGGUCCUCGAGCGUAUGGGGCUUCGUCACCCGCUCUUGUAGGCCCGGCCGGCGCUUGCCGACACAUCAAUCUUUUUUCCAGGUUGACCUCGGAUCAGGUAGGGAUACCCGCUGAACUUAAGCAUAUCAAUAAGCGGAGA
rnacentral:misc_RNA from 1 species